AACGAACGCUGGCGGCAGGCUUAACACAUGCAAGUCGAGCGCCCCGCAAGGGGAGCGGCAGACGGGUGAGUAACGCGUGGGAAUCUACCGUACCCUACGGAAUAGCUCCGGGAAACUGGAAUUAAUACCGUAUACGCCCUACGGGGGAAAGAUUUAUCGGGGUAUGAUGAGCCCGCGUUGGAUUAGCUAGUUGGUGGGGUAAAGGCCUACUAAGGCGACGAUCCAUAGCUGGUCUGAGAGGAUGGUCAGCCACAUUGGAACUGAGACACGGCCUAAACUCCUACGGGAGGCAGGAGUGGAGAAUAUUGGUCGAUGGGCGCAAGCCUUAUCUAGCCAUGCCGCGUGAGUGAUGAGGGUCUUAGGAUUGUAAAGCUCUUUCACCGAUGAAGAUAAUGACGGUAGUCGGAGAAGAAGCCCCGGCUAACUUCGUGCCAGCCGCCGCGGUAA
rnacentral:rRNA from 1 species